UGUGGUUGCGCACCCGGUAGCAACUUGCGCAGCUCAUCGCGCACGAUGGCACGAUGGUAUCUCGAAGGGCCACCGCGGAGGCACUUCGGGGGUCGUCGCAGUCUGACGGAGGAGCGCGUAAGUUGCGAUCGUACUGUUUUACGCGAAGCUCGAGCGUCUUCUCAAUAGUGGCCGCUUCGCUAAUCCAUUCGGCGACGGUCCUGAGCGGGUUGCGAAUGAGAGCGACGAAAAGUUGUUCCUUGACGGCCCUCAUAAGGUACUGAAGCUUGAUGUCUUCAGUCAUGUUGGCGUCCGCGUGGUGGAAG
rnacentral:lncRNA from 1 species